AUUUGGUGUUGUGGGCAGCGCGCACAAAACCUAUUGAACCUCUCCAAAUCUUCAUGCAACGUCUCUCCUUGUUGUUGCUUGAUUCCACAAAUUUCCUUACGCAAUAU